rnacentral:rRNA from 1 species
CGGAGGGAUCAUUACUGAGUUAUCAAAACUCCAAACCCUUUGUGAACCCUACCAUCGUUGCCUCGGCGUGAGCUACGGCUACCCUGUAACUACCCUGGAGCUACCCUAGAGUUACCCUAUAGCUACCCUGCACUUACCCUGCAGCUACCCUAUACCUACCCUGGAGCUACCCUGGAGCUACCCUGUAGUCGGCUUCGGCCCGCCGAAGGACCGUUAAACUCUUGUUUUUACCACUGUUUCUCUGAAUUUUAAACUAAAAUUAGUUAAAACUUUCAACAACGGAUCUCUUGGUUCUGGCAUCGAUGAAGAACGCAGCGAAAUGCGAUAAGUAAUGUGAAUUGCAGAAUUCAGUGAAUCAUCGAAUCUUUGAACGCACAUUGCGCCCAUUAGUAUUCUAGUGGGCAUGCCUAUUCGAGCGUCAUUUCGACCCCUAAGCCCCUGUUGCUUAGCGUUGGGAAUCUACGGCGUAGUUCCUCAAAGUUAGUGGCGGAGUUAGGGUACACUCUCAGCGUAGUAAUUUCUCUCGCUCGUGUGGUGGCCCUGGCUGCUAGCCGUUAAAACCCCUAUAUUUUCUAGUGG